AUUGAACGCUGGCGGCAUGCUUUACACAUGCAAGUCGAACGGUAACAGCACUUCGGUGGCUGACGAGUGGCGAACGGGUGAGUAAUGUAUCGGAACGUGCCCAGUAGUGGGGGAUAACUACUCGAAAGAGUGGCUAAUACCGCAUGAGAUCUCUGGAUGAAAGCGGGGGACCGUAAGGCCUCGCGCUACUGGAGCGGCCGAUAUCAGAUUAGGUUGUUGGUGGGGUAAAGGCCUACCAAGCCUGCGAUCUGUAGCUGGUCUGAGAGGACGACCAGCCACACUGGGACUGAGACACGGCCCAGACUCCUACGGGAGGCAGCAGUGGGGGAAUUUUGGACAAUGGACGCAAGUCUGAUCCAGCAAUGCCGCGUGCAGGACGAAGGCCUUCGGGUUGUAAACUGCUUUGUACGGUAACGAAGAGCCUCUUCUAAUACAGGAGGGUCAUGACGGUACCGUAACGAAUAAGCACCGGC
rnacentral:rRNA from 1 species